GGCUCCAUAGUGUAGUGGUUAGCAUGUCUGCUUUACAUGCAGAGGGUCCUGGGUUCAUGCCCCAGGUGGAGCCA
rfam:Pteropus alecto contig105124, whole genome shotgun sequence.